GACGAACGCUGGCGGCGUGCCUAAUACAUGCAAGUUGAGCGAUGAAGAUUGGUGCUUGCUCCAAUUUGAAUAGCAGCGAACGGGUGAGUAACGCGUGGGUAAUCUGCCUUUGAGCGGGGGACAACAUCUGGAAACGAAUGCUAAUACCGCAUAACAACUUUAAACAUAAGUUUUAAGUUUGAAAGAUGCAUUUGCAUCACUCAAAGAUGAUCCCGCGUUGUAUUAGCUAGUUGGUGAGGUAAAGGCUCACCAAGGCGAUGAUACAUAGCCGACCGGAGAGGGUGGUCAGGCACAUUGGGAAUGAGACACGGCCCAAACUCCUACGGGAGGCAGCAGGAGGGAAUCUUCGGCAAUGGAGGAAAGUCUGAACGAGGAAAGCCGCGUGAGGGAAGAAGGUUUUCGGAUCGUAAAAAUCUGUUGGUAGAGAAGAACGUUGGUGAGAGUGGAAAGCGCAUCAAGUGACGGUAACUACCCAGAAAGGGACGGCUAACUACGUG
rnacentral:rRNA from 1 species